AGGGCCGGUGCCGCGACAGGUUCCCCGCAAGGGGAUCAAAAGGGAACGCGGGUGCAAUGCCCGGGCUGCCCCUGCAACUGUAAGCGGCGAGCCGUGCGGCCAUUCUGCCAUUGGGGCAUGUCCCUGAGAAGGCGGCCGGAACGACAUUGACCCGUGAGCCAGGAGACCUGCCCGUCGCCGUCGUUCUUC
rnacentral:ncRNA from 2 species